rnacentral:rRNA from 1 species
UACGGAGGGUGCAAGCGUUAAUCGGAAUUACUGGGCGUAAAGCGUGCGCAGGCGGUUGUGCAAGACAGAUGUGAAAUCCCCGGGCUCAACCUGGGAAUUGCAUUUGUGACUGCACGGCUAGAGUGUGUCAGAGGGGGGUAGAAUUCCACGUGCAGCAGUGAAAUGCGUAGAGAUGUGGAGGAAUACCGAUGGCGAAGGCAGCCCCCUGGGAUAACACUGACGCUCAUGCACGAAAGCGUGGGGAGCAAACAGG